rnacentral:lncRNA from 1 species
AAAAUUUUGAAAAUCAUCCUCGAGAAAAUUAUCGCACCAGACUGAUGAACAAAUAGUGAACAACUGCGUCUAAGGAAUAUAAAGAAGAUAGAAGACUUUUCUGUAUAAACCUCUUGAUAUUAGCGUAAGUCUAUUUUACAGUUAAAUUAACGAAGAAUCAUAAUAUAAACCAGAGACAUUUAGUACACAUGUCUCUGUAUAAACAAACACAUUCAAAUUAUUUAUCAGAUUAUCUGCAUGUUUACCUUCACAGAAAUUAUGAGAAGAUCUUAUCUUACUGAAUCUAAUUCAGUUUCAUGUCGAAACAUGAUUGCAUAUAUCCUCUAAUUAGCAAACUAACAUAAAACAUAUCUAGCCAUGCACAGAGUCAGUAAUAUCAGAAAAAGGGGGAGGGGUGUCAUUGAAAACUAGCCAUUCGUUCCAAUACAACUCGAUAUGGUGUGUCUGACACAUAUAGAAAUGGUCUGCUCUUAAACACUGUUUUGGUCUUUUAUAUUUUUCGUUAAAAUAUCUCUCAUCUUUGAUAGUUUGAUCUGUAUAUGAACAUUAUGGUUAUUGCAAAACACAGAUCUGGUUUAAAGGAUUCAUGCUUUGUCUUGUUAUUAUGCAAGCUGGUACAAUUGUUUCAAAUGAACAUGUUGUUUUCUAUGAUUUGAAAUAAUUGUUUUAUAAUUGGUAGAAUUUGAUAACAUUUCCGGCUUGUAAAAGUACACAACUUUAUUUAUGUAAUUCAAAUUUAUGUUAUUUCUUUUCCAUGCUUUCAGAUGCUGUUCUAGUUUGCCACAGAGAGACACCAGAAUCCAAAAUAUCCGAGCAGUGAUCAGGACAUUUGAAGAGUGCCCCACAGAGAGCAGAAGGAGUUUCUAGGCAAAAAGAAUAAAUCAUUAAAA